GGUUAAGUGACUAAGCGUAUACGGUGGAUGCCUAGGCAGUUAGAGGCGAUGAAGGACGUGUAAGUCUGCGAAAAGCUGUGGUGAGUUGACAAAACGCAUUUUAGCCACAGAUGUCCGAAUGGGGGAACCCAAUGCAUUUAUGCAUUAUCUGCAACUGAAUACAUAGGUUGUAGAGGCAAACGAGGGGAACUGAAACAUCUAAGUACCCUUAGGAAAAGAAAUCAACCGAGAUUUCCCUAGUAGCGGCGAGCGAACGGGAAUUAGCCCUUAAGCUAAUUGUAAGCCAGUGGAAUGUGUUGGAAAGCACAACGGUACAAGGUGAUAGUCCUGUACACAAAGGCGAACUUUAAGUGAAAUCGAGUAGGUCGGGACACGUGUUAUCUUGACUGAAUAUGGGGGGACCAUCCUCCAAGGCUAAAUACUCCUAACUGACCGAUAGUGAACCAGUACCGUGAGGGAAAGGCGAAAAGAACCCCUGUGAGGGGAGUGAAAUAGAACCUGAAACCGUAUACGUACAAGCAGUGGGAGCAGACUUGUUCUGUGACUGCGUACCUUUUGUAUAAUGGGUCAGCGACUUAUAUUUUGUAGCGAGGUUAACCGAAUAGGGGAGCCGUAGUGAAAGCGAGCGUUAACUGCGCGUCUAGUUGCAAGGUAUAGACCCGAAACCCGGUGAUCUAGCCAUGGGCAGGUUGAAGGUUGAGUAACAUCAACUGGAGGACCGAACCCACUGACGUUGAAAAGUCAGGGGAUGACCUGUGGCUGGGGGUGAAAGGCCAAUCAAACCGGGAGAUAGCUGGUUCUCCCCGAAAGCUAUUUAGGUAGCGCCUCGGACGAACACCAUGGGGGGUAGAGCACUGUUAAGGCUAGGGGGUCAUCCCGACUUACCAACCCUUUGCAAACUCCGAAUACCCAUGAGUGCUAUCCGGGAGACACACGGCGGGUGCUAACGUCCGUCGUGAAGAGGGAAACAACCCAGACCGCCAGCUAAGGUCCCAAAAUAUUGCUAAGUGGGAAACGAUGUGGGAAGGCUAAGACAGCUAGGAGGUUGGCUUAGAAGCAGCCACCCUUUAAAGAAAGCGUAAUAGCUCACUAGUCGAGUCGGCCUGCGCGGAAGAUGUAACGGGGCUAAGCAAUAUACCGAAGCUGCGGACUUGCGCAUCACCAGAAACUAUUUGAAAGAAGAAGCUAACAGCAACGUGAUGUUUUUUAUCACCUGCUGGUAAAGCGUUCCGAAACGUCGAAAGGCGUGGGCAUGUUUAAGUAGUUUGUGGGAUGCGCAAGUGGUAGGGGAGCGUUGUGUAAGUGGUUGAAGGUGAGCUGUGAGGCUUGCUGGACAUAUCACAAGUGCGAAUGCUGACAUGAGUAACGAUAAUGAGGGUGAAAAACCCUCACGCCGGAAGACCAAGGUUUCCUGUCCCAUGCUAAUCAGGGCAGGGUAAGUCGGCCCCUAAGGCGAGGCAGAAAUGCGUAGUCGAUGGGAAACGGAUUAAUAUUUCCGUACUUGGUAUAUCAGUGAAGGGGGGACGGAGAAGGCUAAGCAAGCUUGGUGUUGGUUAUCCAAGUGAAAGUGUGUAGGGCGUUGAAUUAGGUAAAUCCGGUUCAACAUUAACCUGAGACACGAGACGAGUUUCUAAGGAAACGAAGUUGUUGAUGCCAUGCUUCCAGGAAAAGCCUCUAAACUUAUGAUAUAUCGAACCGUACCCCAAACCGACACAGGUGGUCAGGUAGAGAAUACUAAGGCGCUUGAGAGAACUCGGGUGAAGGAACUCGGCAAAAUUGUACCGUAACUUCGGGAGAAGGUACGCUGCUGUUUGUGAUGGGAUUUACUCCCUAAGCGAAUGGCAGCCGCAGUGACCAGGUGGCUGGGACUGUUUAUUAAAAACACAGCACUGUGCUAAAUCGAAAGAUGACGUAUACGGUGUGACACCUGCCCGGUGCCGGAAGGUUAAUUGAUGGGGUUAGCGUAAGCGAAGCUCUUGAUCGAAGCCCCGGUAAACGGCGGCCGUAACUAUAACGGUCCUAAGGUAGCGAAAUUCCUUGUCGGGUAAGUUCCGACCUGCACGAAUGGUGUAACCAUGGCCACGCUGUCUCCACCCGAGACUCAGUGAAAUUGAAAUCGCAGUGAAGAUGCUGUGUACCCGCACCUAGACGGAAAGACCCCGUGAACCUUUACUACAGCUUGGCACUGAACAUUGAACCUACAUGUGUAGGAUAGGUGGGAGGCUUUGAAGCAUAGUCGCUAGAUUGUGUGGAGCCGCCGUUGAAAUACCACCCUUGUAUGUUUGAUGUUCUAACAUGGGUCCCUAAUCGGGAUUGUGGACAGUGUCUGGUGGGUAGUUUGACUGGGGCGGUCUCCUCCCAAAGAGUAACGGAGGAGCACGAAGGUUAGCUAAUCACGGUCGGACAUCGUGAGGUUAGUGCAAUGGCAUAAGCUAGCUUAACUGCGAGACAGACACGUCGAGCAGGUACGAAAGUAGGUCAUAGUGAUCCGGUGGUUCUGUAUGGAAGGGCCAUCGCUCAACGGAUAAAAGGUACUCCGGGGAUAACAGGCUGAUACCGCCCAAGAGUUCAUAUCGACGGCGGUGUUUGGCACCUCGAUGUCGGCUCAUCACAUCCUGGGGCUGAAGUCGGUCCCAAGGGUAUGGCUGUUCGCCAUUUAAAGUGGUACGCGAGCUGGGUUUAGAACGUCGUGAGACAGUUCGGUCCCUAUCUGGUGUGGGCGUUGGAUGAUUGAGGGGAGCUGCUCCUAGUACGAGAGGACCGGAGUGGACGAACCGCUGGUGUUCGGGUUGUCAUGCCAAUGGCAUUGCCCGGUAGCUACGUUCGGAAUCGAUAACCGCUGAAAGCAUCUAAGCGGGAAGCGAGCCCCGAGAUGAGUCAUCCCUGAUAGUUUAACUAUCCUAAAGGGUUGUUGAAGACUACGACGUAGAUAGGCAGGGUGUGGAAGCGUUGUGAGGCGUUAAGCUAACCUGUACUAAUUGCCCGUGAGGCUUAACCAU
rnacentral:rRNA from 1 species